rnacentral:rRNA from 1 species
CAGUCGCCGCGGUAAUACGAAGGGUGCAAGCGUUAAUCGGAAUUACUGGGCGUAAAGCGUACGUAGGCGGUUUGUUAAGUCUGCUGUGAAAUCCCCGGGCUCAACCUGGGAAUGGCAGUGGAUACUGGCAAGCUAGAGUGUGUCAGAGGAUGGUGGAAUUCCCGGUGUAGCGGUGAAAUGCGUAGAGAUCGGGAGGAACAUCAGUGGCGAAGGCGGCCAUCUGGGACAACACUGACGCUGAGGCACGAAAGCGUGGGGAGCAAACAGGAUUAGAUACCCCAGUAGUCCCUGUCUCUUAUAC